GGUACUUCAGAUUCCGAAGACGUAUCCCGUCAUUAUCCGAGGAACACGUUCACGAUGAAAAUGCACCUUAUGAAAUGGUUGACUUAAGACGUGGAUUUAUUUCAAAUGCAGAAGAGCCUUUAUCAUACACUUUCGCACCUCUAUAAAGGCAGAUU